GUCGUUUAUGAUAUUCCAAAUAUACUGAGAUCAUGUUGAGCUGUAAUUGAUUAUAUUAAUUAUCUGGAGAUUUGAUUGAUUGCACGUAUCUUCGCCUGAUGAUUGAUGGAUUGGCCCAUCGGGCAAGAUUUUACAAAAGGGUGAACGCAAGUGGUAUCAAUGCAUGAAAAUAAAUGUGCAAGACGUCCACUCGCCUAGAGAAAGGUCCUCGAACUCGCUCCUCAAACGACAAACACAUCCAGUCGGCAUUGGGAUGUACAUGAACCUUAACAUCGCCCAAUACAGGUAUCACAUUUCCAGCAGUCUAU
rnacentral:lncRNA from 1 species